rnacentral:rRNA from 1 species
CUACGAGUGGCUGCAGUGAGGAAUUUUGCGCAAUGGGGGAAACCCUGACGCAGCAACGCCGCGUGAGUGAUGAAGGCCUUCGGGUCGUAAAGCUCUGUCAAGUGGGAAGAACCUAUCGAUAUUGAAUAUAUAUUGAUACUGACGGUACCACAAGAGGAAGCACCGGCUAACUCCGUGCCAGCAGCCGCGGUAAUACGGGGGGUGCAAGCGUUAUUCGGAAUCAUUGGGCGUAAAGGGCGCGCAGGCGGCCGUGUAAGUCAGAUGUGAAAGCCCGGGGCUCAACCCCGGAAGCGCAUUUGAAACUAUGAGGCUUGAGUAUGGGAGAGGGAAGUGGAAUUCCUGGUGUAGCGGUGAAAUGCGUAGAUAUCAGGAGGAACACCGGUGGCGAAGGCGGCUUCCUGGACCAAUACUGACGCUGAGGCGCGAAGGCGUGGGGAGCAAACAGGAUUAGAUACCCGUGUAGUC